rnacentral:rRNA from 1 species
AACGAACGCUGGCGGCGUGCCUAACACAUGCAAGUCGAGCGCGAAAGUUCCUUCGGGAAUGAGUAGAGCGGCGGACGGGUGAGUAAUACGUGGGUAAUCUGCCCCCGAGCUCGGGAUAACAGUGCGAAAGCGCUGCUAAUACCGGAUAAGACCACAUGACAUAUGUCGUGCGGUAAAAGGUGGCUUUAUUUUCGGAUGAGGCUAUCACUUGAGGAUGAGCCCAUGGCCUAUCAGCUUGUUGGUGAGGUAAAAGCUCACCAAGGCGAUGACGGGUAGCUGGUCUAAGAGGACGACCAGCCACACUGGGACUGAGACACGGCCCAGACUCCUACGGGAGGCAGCAGUGGGGAAUAUUGGGCAAUGGGCGAAAGCCUGACCCAGCGACGCCGUGUGGGCGAUGAAGGCCUUCGGGUUGUAAAGCCCUGUGAGGUGGAAAGAAGGGUCCAGAGGUUAAUACCCUUUGGACUUUGACGGUACCACCAGAGGAAGCACCGGCUAACUCCGUGCCAGCCGCCGCUGUAAUAC